AGCAGAAGCUGUGCGGAAGACUCUGAAGAGGUUGUUGAGUUUGAGAAUCUGAGAGUACCACACCGGAGAAACCGUGAACAAGAAUUGUGCAACCGUGAAAUAUAAAACCCUGCUUCACCAUUUGCAAUGGUAGGACCCAAGCGCCACUUCCUCCCUCUCGUUCUCAUCUCCCUCGCCGCCUUCAUCUUCUACACCUUCAACCACUUCUCUCUCUCGCCAGCCAUUGCUGAAUCAAACCACAGAUCCACUUUCCCACACCCGAUUCCAACCCUAAUCCAUCCCAAUUUCAAUUUUGUUAUCAACGUCCUCGCUUUCAACCGCCUCGCCUCACUCUCCCGCUGCUUACGCUCCCUUGCCGCCGCCGACUACCUCGGUGACCGCGUCCACCUCCACCUCCACAUCGACCACUUCGCCUCCUCCGACAACGCCUCGACCGUGGACCCUAAGCUCCGGGAGGCACGUCAGAUCUUGGAGUUUGUGGACGCGUUCGAUUGGAAGUUCGGGGAGAAGGUUGUGCAUUACAGGACGGGCAAUGUGGGCCUGCAGGCCCAGUGGUUGGAGGCCUGGUGGCCCACUUCCGAUCACGAGUUCGCCUUCGUGGUGGAGGAUGACUUGGAGCUCUCUUCGCUUUACUAUGAGUUCGUUAAGACGGUGAUUCUCAAUUUCUACUACAAUGCCUCCAAUUAUAGCCCUUCCAUCUUCGGGGUUUCGUUGCAGCGAGCAAGGUUUGUUCCAGGUAAACAUGGAAACAAAAUACAGUUGGAUGACAAGACAACGCUUUUCUUAUACCAGUUAGUUGGCACAUGGGGUCAAAUUCUCUUUCCAAAGCCAUGGAAAGAGUUCAGGCUGUGGUAUGACGAGAACAAGGCAAAGGGCAAUAAACCAUUUCUUGAGGGGAUGGUGUCUACGGGAUGGUAUAAGAAAUUGGGAGAGAGGAUUUGGACACCUUGGUUCAUAAAGUUUAUUCAGUCCCGGGGUUACUUCAAUAUAUACACAAAUCUUCUGCAUGAGAGAGCAUUAAGUGUUUCUCACAGAGAUGCUGGAGUAAACUACGGGAAAACUGCUGGACCUGAUUCUACAUUAGUUGAGAAAAGAUAUAUGGACUUCAAUAUUUUGGAAAUGCAACCUUUGAGUAGUUUAAAAUGGUUUGAUUUUUGUUUCAGAGAAGUGCAUCCUGGAAAGGUUGUCACAAACCUAGAAGAACUUGGAUGGUUGCUUCACUAUCGGCAGAAGCGGGAUAGUGUCUUCUUAGUAAAUCUUUUUGGGGUAUCGGAUGCUAUAGCAAGAAACUUACUCUGCCACUUCGAGAGGCUAAAUAUCAGGAAUUAUAUACUUAUGGGCCCUCCAUCUGACUCCUUAUUUGAUCUGGCAAGGAGGGGACAUCCUGUAAUUAAUGUUGACCAAUUUUUAAGUAGUGUUGGAUUGUAUAAACUUACUUCGGAAGGUUCAAAUUCUGAGACCAUCAAGGGUAUUUUGGCAAAGAUCUAUGUAAUUAAGAAGUGUAUCGAGAAUAAAUAUAGCACGUGGGUUAUGGAUGGGAACAUGCUUCUCACUUCAGACCUGUUUUCCGAGUCAGAAAAUCCCAAUGACGACUUCUUUGUAGCGAACAAUUUUGAACUCUUUUAUGCUAAAAGCUCAUCUUCUAGUGAGAAAAUCUGGGUUGAUGGAUUUGUUUCGCAGAUUGUAGCUGAGGUGGAGUCUUUGUCAGGAAAAGAUACAGAAGCCCAUUAUAGGUUAAGCUUUGUGUACAUUGUAAAAAAAUUAUUGGAACAGAAAGGUGCGAGGAUUGGAAAAGUUGAUGAGAGUUCUUUGGCCACGAAAGUUGGCUCUGGUAACGCGAGCGAAUCUUUUCGUGGUGAUAAAAAGUUGGUUUAUUGGUCAACUGAGAUGGAGCUGGAUUCAAUUCGGAAAUGGUUCAAAGAGUUGAAUUUGUGGAGUAUAGACAAUGAUUUGUCUUGCACCGCGGUGGUAUGUCAUAAAUCAUAGCACUUUAUGGCACCCAGUCUUUAUACAUCUUAUUUUUUAACAUCCAAUGAGUUGGCCAAGCAUGAUGUACCUGUGAAGCUUGCUAUAGACUAUGCAAUGGCUUAUACUAUGGAUGAGGUUGACAUAGUUUUUGUUGGGGCGAAUGGAGUUGUUGAAAGAGGUGGUAUGAUCAACAUGAUUGGGACUUGCCAAAUUGCAAUUGUCGCCAAGAGUUAGAACAAGCCAGUUUAUGUGGCUGCUGAAAGCUACUAGGUGUUCUUACUCCAUCAGUGCUUAAUGAUGAACACAUCCAGUUAUAUCUGUAGCUAUCCCGGUAUAAUUUUCUUUCUAUUCUUUUAAAAUGUUGGCCUCACUUCAAGAUUGUGUUGUGAAAUAAUUUUGUGACAAGCACAUGCAUUAGAAGCAUGACACCUUCAGAUUCAGAAUCAUCGACAGGCUAACUAGAUUAACAUCUUCAAAUUCUCAGGAGACUGUAUAUAUUCCAAAUCCAUUUCCAUGAAAAACUUAUCCUAUUACUAGAUGUCUUACUCUGAAG